rnacentral:lncRNA from 1 species
CCCUUUUUGUUCCCCAUCCCCUUUAGUUCAUCCCCGAAGGGGAACAUCCCCUAAAGUUCCCCUUUAGGGGAAGAACUAAAGGUGUGUUCUUCCCCUUUAGGGGAACCCCCUUCUUCUUCCCCUUCGUUUUCACCCCUUUAGGGGAACUAAAGAAGACGGAGUCCCCUAAAGGGGAAGAAGAAGAGACUUUGGUUCAUCCCCUUUAGGGGAACUAAAGAAGACGAAGAAAACGAAGAAGAGACUUUGGGGUGUGUUCUUCCCCUUUAGGGGAACCCCCUUCUUCUUCCCCUUCGUUUUCACCCCUUUAGGGGAACUAAAGAAGACGGAGUCCCCUUUAGGGGAAGAAGGGGUGUUCCCCUUCUUCCCCUAAAGGGGACGGAGUCCCCUAAAGGGGAAGAAGGGGAGCACUUCUUCAUCCCCUUUAGGGGAACUAAAGAAGACGGAGUCCCCUUUAGUUCCCCUAAAGGGGAUGAAGAAGAAGAGACUUUGGUUCAUCCCCUUUAGGGGAACUAAAGAAGACGAAGAACUAAAGGGGAAGACGACAUCCCCGAAGGGGGACAUCAUCCCCUAAAGGGUUGUCUUCUUUAGGGUUGUCUUCUUUAGGGUUGUCUUCUUUAGGGUUGUCUUCUUUAGGGUUGUCUUCUUUAGGGUUGUCUUCUUUAGGGUUGUCUUCUUUAGGGUUGUCUUCUUUAGUUCUUCCCCCUAAAGGGGAAGAACUAAAGUUCCCCUUUAGGGGAAGAAGAAGAACACUAAAGGGGAUGAACAAAGAAGAUGACUUGNGAAGACAACCCUUUGGUCCCCCCCCCUUUGGGGAUGACGACGAAGGUAACGAAGAAGACACGCUUGGUCACAAGACUUUAUGGCUGAUUUACGGGGCUCCAAGCUAGUUUGCUCACAGCAUAAAAUCGGGCCANNN